GACGAACGCUGGCGGCGUGCUUAACACAUGCAAGUCGAACGGAAAGGCCCGGCUUUUGUGGGGUUCUCGAGUGGCGAACGGGUGAGUAACACGUGAGUAACCUGCCCUUAACUUUGUGAUAACUUCAGGAAACUGGGGCUAAUACCGCAUAGGAUCUCCUGCUGCAUGUUGGGGGUUGGAAAGUUUCGGCGGUUGGGGAUGGACUCGCGGCUUAUCAGCUUGUUUGUGGGGUAGUGGCUUACCAAGGCUUUGACGGGUAGGCGGCAUGGGAGGGUUACCGGCCACAUUGGGACUGAGAUACGGACCAGACUCCUACGGGAGGCAGCAGUGGGGAAUAUUGCACAAUGGGCGGAAGCCUGAUGCAGCAAUGCCGCGUGCGGGAUGACGGCUUUCGGGUUGUAAACAGAUUUGGACUGUGACGAAGAGUGAGUGACGGUAAUGGGUAAAGAAGCCACGGCUAACUACGUG
rnacentral:rRNA from 1 species